UUUUGGACAAUGGGCGCAAGCCUGAUCCAGCAAUGCCGCGUGCAGGAAGAAGGCCUUCGGGUUGUAAACUGCUUUUGUACGGAACGAAACGGUCCUGGUUAAUACCUGGGGCUAAUGACGGUACCGUAAGAAUAAGCACCGGCUAACUACGUGCCAGCAGCCGCGGUAAUACGUAGGGUGCAAGCGUUAAUCGGAAUUACUGGGCGUAGAGCGUGCGCAGGCGGUUUUGUAAGACAGGCGUGAAAUCCCCGGGCUUAACCUGGGAAUGGCGCUUGUGACUGCAAAGCUGGAGUGCGGCAGAGGGGGAUGGAAUUCCGCGUGUAGCAGUGAAAUGCGUAGAUAUGCGGAGGAACACCGAUGGCGAAGGCAAUCCCCUGGGCCUGCACUGACGCUCAUGCACGAAA
rnacentral:rRNA from 1 species